rnacentral:rRNA from 1 species
UGCCAGAGCCAUAUCUCCCUGUAGUUCUUGCUGGUUUCCCACUGAAGCUAAGCAGGGUUGAGUCUGGCCAGUACCUGGCUUGGAGACCUCCUGGGGAAAACUAAGGUUGAUGCUA